rnacentral:lncRNA from 1 species
GUCCCGGGCAGGUCACUCUCUCAGCAUGCAGAGAGGAGAGGCACCGUCAACGUCUGACCUUGAUGGACCUUGAGGUCCCAUCCAUCCUUGUCUGAAGAGAAGGUGAGGCUCACAGGGCUCUCCGUAUUCAUCAGCCUCAGGUAAGACUUGUUUUUUUGUUUGUUUGUUUGUUUGUUGAAACAGAAUCUCGUUCUGUUGCCUAGGCUAGAGUGCAGUGGCAUGAUCUCAGCUCACUGCAACCUCUCCCUUCUGGGUUCAAGCAAUUCUCCUGCCUCAGCCUCUCCUGAGUAGCUGGAACUACAAGCAUGCACCACCAGACCUGACUAAUUUUUGUAUUUUUAGUAGAGACGACGUUUCUUCAUGUUGGCCAGGGUGGUCACAAACUCCUGACCUCAGGUGAUCCGCCCACCUCAGCCUCCCAAAGUGCUGGGAUUACAGGCGUGAGCCACCGUGCCCAGCUGGUAAGAUGCUUCUUAAGGCAGAGAGAGACGAGGCAAAGGGCAAGGCAGUGGAAUCAGGAGCAAGGUCUCUAGCGCCUUUCUGGACUGCAUCAGUGACAUCAGAGAAAGAAAACAAACUUCUGCCCAUGCCAGGGAGCAAAUAGGACCUCACAUCACGGCCUCCGUGUUAUCAUGAGCUGGCCUGAUGCUUCCAGCUAAGCCACGUGCUCUCCAGUUGGACAGAAAUAAUUUCCGAGAAUGUCCACUCAGGCCAGAUCAUGCUAAAUCCCACACAUCUUCCACUCUUGCUAAGUAAGCAACUGCUGCAUCUUUCCCAGUUCCAGCUUUGGUCUCCCUCUAGUCUGUCCUCCCUAGAGAUGACAGAUGUAUUCAGAUACCCCCUCACAGAAUCACCCCUGGCCUCUGGCAACUCCCGACUAGAGAAAACCUCUGCUUCCUUAGACCCUCCCGAAAAUCACCCAACCAAAGCCCAAGCCUGGUAGUAGGUCAUUCCCAACAUCUUCUUACUCUGAGACUUCCUGCAGUUCCCAAGCUGUGUGUGCUGUCUCACUGCAACUUGUAAUAAACCCAACUUGUUCAACUACAGGUGUGUACCUGGUGGCUUUCGGCCACAGGGCAAGUGGUCAGUAUGAGCUAAGUACCGUUCUCCAAGCUUGUUGAAAUAUUCUUUGCUGACUGACUACUGAACACUAUCUAUAUCUGGAACCCCAAGCUAUCUCAGGCCAUACACAAGGUCAGGAUCAUGAGGUGAUUCCACCCCUUCUGCUGCUGUUGUCCUCUGUCAAUCACCUGCAUCCAAAGCCAUCUCCCGCAUCACCAGUCAGGGAUUUCCACAGCAAGCACAUGUUCAAUGAGCAUCUACAGGCUAAGCUCCGGGCUAAAGCUUAUGGAGAAAAGCCUUGCCCCUAUAUAAUUUUGAUUACCCACCAAGUACUAAAUGUGGUGUGGACAUAGUACACUUCUCAUGUGGUCCCGAAAGCUUCCAUCUGCAGAAAGUACAAGACGAACACAUUCUAAUAAACAGGAAGCUAUGAACCAGCUACAUCAUCCAUCAGCUCUUUCUUAUCAGGGAAUUGGCAGGAUACAUUAACAAAAGGGUAAUUAUUUAUUAAUGGUUACUUGAAACCUGGGCUUUCCACACCCGAUUUCAAAACACACAGGGCCAUUUAUUUGAAGUGGUUUCCGGACUUUGAUGGAUUGAAUAUUCGCCCGUGCUGGCAAAGGCAUACACACAGUGAUGCUAACUAGAGUAACUAUAGAAACUAUCCUAUCCUGAUACAGCCUUAGAACAUCUCUGAACAAUCAUCCGCAUAAAGGAAACAUCAAGGGAAUAGAAAAACCAUCUGGUCUCUAUAGCUAGAACAUUUGAACAGCUUGUAAAGGGAAAGAAAUUGAAACCUCACAACAAAAAAUCUGGCAGAUGAUAAACACAAGAUUUUUGAGUUUAUCAGCCAGUUGCUACAGACCAAGAUCAAUAUACAAAGAAAGGACAUGCUCAUAACCCAGGACCUCCGACUGGAAUGAAAAGACAGGCAGAAAAACCUGAAAGGUUUGAGGCUGAUUACAGUUAUACUACCCCGAGCCCACUACUCACAGAAAGCUAUUUAUUUUCUUUACAGAUGAUGGAAAAUUCCAAACAGAAUAAAAUUAUACAGAAUGUUGCAAGAAAAAGCAUUUCUUUGGGUGUUUCUAGCUCAGCUGCAAACAGGAGGUAGUGAAGUCCCACGAGGAAGGUGUGCUCUGUUGAAAUGUCUAAGUCGAUUGUGCAGUUUUGAAAGUCACUGCCAAUCCAGAGAUGAUUUCAACCCAAGUUCUUUCGUGAAAUAAUAAUUCCCAGCUCCUAAAUAAUUCCCAGCUCCUAAAUCCCAGAUCUGACUCUUUCUAAAUGUGUCUUUUUCCUGUCUCUUCUUGCUCACCUCUUCUGUAGCCACAGGCAGUUUUCAGCCAACAGUUUGACUUCAACAAAGUCAGCAGCAUCCUGAGUCAAACCUGGCUAGAGUCCCUCUACUCAGAGCAGUGUUGCAUGGGUGUGUCACACAGAUGUGCACAGUCACCCAGACCACAGGGCUUCUCUGGAAUCUGGACGGGAACUUGGCUAGGGCUUGACCUGCUUCGGUUCACCACCUCUCUGCCUAGCCCUUUUCUAUGGAAUUUCCAUCUGCUUCUCUACAGCAAUGACUUGAAAACUGGCAACAUAAGAUACUAGCAACUCAUUACUGAAUAGGGCAUUUUAAUGUCUUUCAAAGUCCUUCUAAAGCCAUUUAAUGUGUGUGUUUAGGCAUCUCUCCCAAAAUAGAAUGUCCUAUUUUGGCUCCCCUUUUUUUUUCUCUACCUCCUAAUCCCAUCACCCAAAGGGAACCACUGUUAGUAGUUUUAUGUGAGUCUGUUUAUGGUCAUCAAACAUCUACUUAAGUUUCAAACCAAAAUUAUGUCAUAUCUUUUGUCAUGUUCUACAACCUGCUAUCUUACUUUACAAUGUUAUGAAUGUCUUUGUAAUACAUUAAUUGCAGGUGUACUUAAAGGUUGCACUGCUGUCCAUUGCAUCAAGAUACCCUCAGAUGUCCAUUCAGUCUCCUAAUUCCUCUCGAUGAUACAGUGUUGCAAUCAACAGCUUUGAACGUGAAAGAAAAUGCAAUGUCCUAGUAUGCUUGUAAUUGUCUUAUCUCCAAGAUGUUGAGAUAAAUGUAGAUAGUUUCACCUACCUACGGCCCUAUUGCCUUCUCCCAGACAUGAGCACCUCCCACUUAAGUACGAGGCUGAGCUUGGGAAUAACUGCCUUUUACCCCCACAUGUAAUUGAGCACCAAGGGCCAUCUUUUCUUGCUUUUCAAUACUUCCCAAAUGAAUCCACUCUUUUUCUGUCUCUCCUCCCAUCUUAAGCAACUACCAUCUCUUACCUGGGUUACAACACCAUCUGCAAUGUGGACCUCUCUAUUCCUCUUAUGUGACUGUAAUCCAGCCACAUGGUGAUACUGAUCAUACUCAAUUCAACUAUGAUUAUUCCCCUGCUGAGACCCUUCACAGGGGUCCGUGGUCCUUGGGAUACAAUAAACACUUCUCAGCAUUCAUUUCUCAGGUUCUUGUUUUCCUUCUCAGCCCUCUCUGCUGCCUCUUCCAACAUGGAAGCCCACAGUCCAGGCAGGCAUGUGGAACAACGUUCACCUCCUCAAAAGUGCCACUUUUUCUCCUCCCCUCAAGCGUCUGCACCUGCUGUGUCCUAAGCUUGGAUCAAUUUGCCAUUUACUCAUCUCCCUCAAGCCCCUGAGACUGUGGCUUUACGUGGAAGAGACAACACAGCAGCCUAUGAAGUGAGGGAGAGAGGACCGAGUGUCCCCGGGUGUUCCAACUUUUUUCCAUAAGUCUAACCCUAUGGAGCAAAACUCCCAUUGGAAGAAUCGCCACCUGGUCCCAGCAGAACAAUGCCACCAUCAAGCAAGCUACGGCACUUCUGAGGUCCAGAACUGUUUGGACCAAAGCAAAAUCAAAACAAACAAACAUACACACAAAACAUGGUGGAGGGCUGAAGUCAGUUGUCUAAUACCUACAACUUGCUUAGCAAUGGACUUUUUCAGGAAUAAAGGGAUCGUGAAUCCCUUUGACUGGUCUCUGCAUCUUGGAGCUCUGAACUAAGAGUCAUAUUAGUGUAUUAAUGUAUUGUCUGGGGGAUAUGAGCUCUGAUUUGGGCAAAUCCUGGAACAUACCCACUCUGCCAGCUCCAUACAUUCAAGGAUCUAACUGUCUCAUUUAUCAUGAAUCUCCAGCACCUAGGACAGUGCAUAAACCAUGGCAGGUGCUUGAAAAAUAUUGCCGGAAUAAAUUAAAAACUGAAUAAGAAGAGACAAUAAAAGCCAUCAAGAACAAUUAUCCCACCCAAAUUUCCCCCAUAAAUGACAGAAUGCUCUAGAAAUCCAUAACUGGAGAAUCCUCAGAUCCUUUCUAAAGUGACAGGAGGCAGAAAGACAGCGGGUUGGAAGCUCAAGGAGUGGACAAUUGAGUAAAGGCAGUAGGGACACGGGUCCUAUCUGCCUUCCAAGGUAGUCCAUUGGUAUGCAUCACUGAUAAAAUGAUGGAGGGAAGGCAUCUCUUCCAGCUUCAUUGUGGGGAAGACCAGCAAGCAGAUUCACAGGCUGGCUGGUUUCAUCCAGACGCGAAGACACGACUUGAGGAUGCUGUCUAGACUGGAGGGAAUAUGCUACAUCAGCCAAAGGCCCCGGGGUUUAUUUUAGUUCUGUGCGUACCUUUAACGUCAUAAGGUGAUGCUGCAGUGCCCUGAGAAAGAGAGACAGCCACACUUGCAUGCUGCACCGCACAGGACACUGAAUCACCAGGCCACACACUUCGUGGGUGAGCCAGAGAGAAUCCAUUUAAUGAAGGCUUGGACCAGGAUUUCCCAUACCUUGUUUCAUGGAGCUUUGUGCUUUGAGCUACUCCAGGAAAUCAAUGGUUACCUGGUCAGAUAAGUAAAGAAAUGCUGCACAUUCUAAUUCCUUAUUUUUAUUUAUUUUUUAUUUAUUUGAGAUACAGUCUCACUGUGCUGCCCAGACUGGAAUACAGUGGCAUGAUCUCAGCUCACUGUGACCUCUGCCUCCCAGAUUCAAGUGAUUCUCUUGCCUCAGCCUCCUGAGUAGCUGGGAUUACAGGGGUGCACCACCAUGCCUGGCUAAUUUUUGUGUUUUUAGUAGAGACAUGGUUUCACCAUGUUGGCCAGGCUGGUUUCGAACUCCUGACCUCAAAUGAUCCACCCACCUCGGCCUCCCAAACUGCUGGGAUUACAGGUGCGAGCCACCACACCUGGCCAGAUCUUCCUUCUUUCCUUAAAAAGAAAUAAUCUAAAUUAAAAACUCAUUAACCCCUUAAAAAGGAAGGACGUUUUGACACAUACUACAAUGUGGAAGAACCUGGAGGACAUUAGGCUCAGUAAAAUCAGCCAGUCCCAAAAGGAUGACUAUAGCACCAUUGUAUGAGAUCCAUAGAAUAGCCAAAUUCAUAGACAGAAAGUAGAAGGGAGCUUGCCAGGGACUGGGGGAAGAGAGAACAGGGAGUUAUUCUUUUAAUGGGGAAAAAGUUUCUGUUUGGAAUGAUGCAAAAGUGCUGCAGAUGGAUGAUGGUGACGAUUGCACAGCAAUGUGAAUGUAGCUAACGCCAUUGAACUGUACACUUAAGGAUGGUUAACAUGGUACAUUUUAUGUUAUGUGUAUUAUUACCACAAUUUUUAAAAAUUAAAAAAAAAACUCAUUAACCCAGAGUUGACCCAAAUUUUCCUUCAUGGAAUAACUCUUAAAAAUUAUUUUAACCUAUCACCACCCACCUCCCAACAACUGCUGUUGCCAUGGGGUAUAUCAACUAGCUUAGGGCUUGAAAGUGAAAUUCUAAGCUUGAGGCUUUUUGGGGAGGGGGACUGACACUGUUAGGAACUGAUGGUCAUGGAUAACAAAGCUAAAGCUCUUUUGAACUGGAGUGGGACCAAGCAAAUGGACUUGCCUGCUCCCUAGCUGUUCCCCAGGAUAUUGUCCUUGUCGGAGAACAGAUCACAGGCCACAGGGAGGUGGCCGCCUCCAGCAUUUAGGAGAAGAUCCUAUGAUAUUGCCUAGAGCUGUAGAGAUCCUGUCGCUGAAAGCUCUGUGGCUUCUGCCUUCCAUUUGUUCCUUUAGUCUAGUUCCCACCUAAGACAGAGAAAGAUCAUUUGCUCUAUUUCCAUGUCCUUGGCCAAAUUUCACACUUGCUCAAAGGAAAAAUAAAAGAUUUUAUUUUUGUCACACGCAGGGUCCCACAUUUGCUAUUACAAGAAGACCUAUGUGUUAGUCCAUUCUCACACUGCCAUAAAGAAAUACUCAACACUGGGUAAUUUGUAAGGAAAAGAGGCUUAAUUGACUCACAGUUCCACUGGCUGGGGAGGCCUCAGGAAACUUAUAAUCAUGGCAAAAGGGAAAGCAGGCACCUUCUUCACAAGGCGGCAGGAGAGAGUGAAGCAAAGGAGGGACUUUCAAACACUUACGGAACCAUCAGAUCUCAUGAGAAAUCACUCACUGUCAUGAGAACAGCAUGGGGAAACUGCCCCCAUGAUCCAAUCAACUCUCUUCUUUGACAUGUGGGGAUUACAGGUCCCUCCCUUCAUAGAUGGGGAUUACAAUUCAAGAUGAGAUUUGGGUGAAGACACAGAGUCAAACCAUAUCAACCUAUUUUUACCAGUUGUUUUGAACCACAUGAAAUUGUCAAAUUUGACCAUUUUGACCUGCAAAAAUAGCAACUGCAAAUGGUUUAAACUAAACAGUUGUGUGCUGAUCCUGCCUCCUAACCCCAGCAGAGUUGUUUUCCACAAAGUGUACUCCAGGAAAUGCAUCUUUGAGCACAUGCUUUUUGAUCCAAGUGUCCUCUAUCAACAUCUGCCACGACCUUGUCUCCUACACUAGCCUCCACCACACGUUUCUCUGCCUAUAAUCUUCUCCUUUCCUGCCCACCUCACAGACAUCACCCGGACUUUCAAUGAAGCACCAGGCACGGAGCGAGAACACUCAGCUUCCAGUACGGGAGCACUCAGCCUUCCACUCUGCCACUCUCUCC